rnacentral:rRNA from 1 species
UACGUAGGGUGCGAGCGUUUAAUCGGAAUUACUGGGCGUAAAGCGUGCGCAGGCGGUGAUGUAAGACAGAUGUGAAAUCCCCGGGCUCAACCUGGGACCUGCAUUUGUGACUGCAUCGCUAGAGUACGGUAGAGGGGGAUGGAAUUCCGCGUGUAGCAGUGAAAUGCGUAGAUAUGCGGAGGAACACCGAUGGCGAAGGCAAUCCCCUGGACCUGUACUGACGCUCAUGCACGAAAGCGUGGGGAGCAAACAGG